rnacentral:tRNA from 1 species
GCGCCCUUAGCUCAGCUGGUAGAGCAACUGACUCUUAAUCAGUGGGUCGAAGGUUCGAAUCCUUCAGGGCGCACCA